UACGGAGGGUGCAAGCGUUAUCCGGAUUCACUGGGUUUAAAGGGUGCGUAGGUGGUCUGUUAAGUCAGCGGUGAAAGCCUGGAGCUCAACUCCAGAAUUGCCAUUGAUACUGACGGACUUGAAUCAAGUUGAGGUGGAUGGAAUAUUACAUGUAGCGGUGAAAUGCUUAGAUAUGUAAUAGAACACCAAUUGCGAAGGCAGUUCACUAAGCUUGUAUUGACACUGAGGCACGAAAGCGUGGGGAUCAAACAGGAUUAGAUACCCUGGUAGUCCACGCCCUAAACGAUGCAAACUCGACAUUAGCGAUAUACAGUUAGUGUCCAAGCGAAAGCGUUAAGUUUGCCACCUGGGAAGUACGACCGCAAGGUUGAA
rnacentral:rRNA from 1 species